rnacentral:lncRNA from 1 species
GCCCUGAGAAGUGUCAGAGAAAAGAUAAUGAGUCAGGCACAUUCCUUCCCUCAGAGAACUUGCAGUCUAGUGAGGGCAAUUGAUAUGCAGUGCUACUACCUCGAGGUGAUGGGCUUUGCAAGGACAGGAUAAGCAAAGGGCUGUACAAGCCAGAAGAAAAGAGGCCUCUAAUGCACCUACCACCGUGUGACUGUUAAAGCGACCCAGGGGCCAGAGACCAGUCCUGAUCCCUACCAUAGCUGCCAAUGUAGCAGCUGCAGAGCUGCAGUUACACUGUGAUAGCAACAGCCAGAGAACAAGGUGAAGCCAGGACUGGCAACCUCAGUGUUGUGGUUAACAGGUGUUAAAGCAAGUACAAAGAAAGUGUAACAGCAAGCCACAACUGGGUUUUGAAAGACCCUGCCUCAUGCAUGCUGACCACUCAGGGCUCAACUACUCCUUCUGGAACCCUGACCCGAGGAGUCACUCCAAGUCUCUGCUGUGAGGUCUUCUCACCAGUUCCAAGUUGGUGUAAGAAGA